rnacentral:rRNA from 1 species
UACGUAGGGUGCAAGCGUUGUCCGGAAUUAUUGGGCGUAAAGAGCUCGUAGGCGGUUUGUCGCGUCGAAUGUGAAAACCCGGGGCUCAACCCCGGGCCUGCAUUCGAUACGGGCAGACUAGAGUUCGGUAGGGGAGUCUGGAAUUCCUGGUGUAGCGGUGAAAUGCGCAGAGUAUCAGGAGGAACACCGGUGGCGAAGGCGGGACUCUGGGCCGAUACUGACGCUGAGGAGCGAAAGCGUGGGGAGCGAACAGG